CAAUAGCGUAUAUUAAAGCUGUUGCGGUUAAAAAGCUCGUAGUUGGAUUUCUGUCAAGGACAACUGGUCCGCCCUUCGGGUGAGCACAUAGUUUGGUCUUGGCAUCUUGCUGGAAACUGUUGCUGCGCUUGGUUGUGUGGUGCAGCUUUCAGCACUUUCACUUUGAGGAAAUUGGAGUGUUUCAAGCAGGCACAUGCCUUUGGACACAGUAGCAUGGAAUAAUUAGAUUGGGCUUUUGCUCCAACUUGUUGGUUCCUGGAGCUGAGGUGAGAAUCAAUGGGGAUUGUUGGGGGCAUCCGAAUUUAGCCGUCAGAGGUGAAAUUCUUGGAUCUGCUAAAGACGGACAACUGCGAAAGCGUUUGCCCAGGAUGUUUUCAUUGA
rnacentral:rRNA from 1 species